AUGAAUCCCACUGGAAUGAAUUGCCUUUUCUCCUUGGAGUACACCAAGGCAAUGGAACACAACACACAUUUUCACUCACUCAGACCUGAUGCUCUUCUGGAGCAGAUGAUUCUGUUGAGAGCUCAUAAAACUUGGUUAAGAGAAUGGGGGAAGAAAUUGGUCCCAGAACCUGGCUGCAAGAAAACCUUGGAGGGGACACAGAUUUACACCUACUUGGAAAAACACAUCAGGGCCAGAAUAGUUAACAGCCUACACUAUUCAGAACAACCAGUCUGUGAAUGUGGUAAAGUCAGGGCUCCCAAGCUGAAGCCCAGCCUUCCAGCUGAAGCCGCCACAUUGCUGGCCAUGUGGGGAGCAGGAAGCCAGGUGUAUGCCUGGAACAGCUGCUCCAAGAGAGAACAAAGGGAUUAUGUCUAGUGUGAUAGAAACAACCAAGCUUGCAGGUCAGGGUUGUAAUGAAGGCACUGGCUGAGGCAGAAAUGAAUGCCUUGGCUGAUGGCCAGUGCAAAAUGCCAUUUGUCUACAUACAAAUAAGGUAAGAGCUGGGUAGCAAACAGGUAUUUCUGCAGUAUGUGAGAACUGAGUCACUGCUCAGGCAGGUAUACAAAAUGUUUAAAGAGGACGCCUAAGCCUUUUGUAAACACAAGGUCAGGCAUGUAAGAGAACAAUGUGAGUAUGAGCAAACUGUCUCUUGAGAGGGCAGGUACAAAUUACUAUUUAGGGACUGAAGAGCAGUGACAGGAGAAGCCCCAGCACAUCAUCUUAGACUGAAGCAGAAGCUCUUAGGCUAAAAGCAGCUUUCUACUGCAGAGUGGCAUGCAGGGGUGUGGAGAGCCAGAAAGAUGCUCAUGCAUGAAAGCGGUGGGCAUUGCUGGGUUUCCUAGGCAUCACAUGAGCAUACCUGAAGUGAGAACAUUACAAAAGUCUGUGGUAUGUGGAAAGAUACAAAAGCCAGAAAAUGUGAAAUCAGUAUUUAGCUCACGGUUUCACCAAAUCUAGCAGCACAUUACAGAAAAUUUAGAAUGCCAGGCAGCAUUACUCUUCAGAAAAAGAAGUUUGCUUUAUCAUACUGGAUAUGACAAGCUUUCCUCUCAGUGCAAGCAGCCCUGUGGAAUUAAAUAGGAAAGCAGCAAAAUAUUCCCAGGCAAGAACAUAUUUGUAAAUGCAUCAGGCAGCAUUUGUCUGAAGCUAAAUGAAACAUUUUUCCACAGAACUCAAAGUAGCCAAUAUAAAGAUCUAUUAGUAACUGCAAAAUAUGUAAUUUAGAAGGCCAAAUAAAAAUCACUUAUGGCUUAUACUGUCA
rnacentral:lncRNA from 1 species